rnacentral:piRNA from 1 species
UGGGUGCUGACACCAUUGUGUAGAUUUGACU